GGGGAUGACCGGUUUUGACAGCGGGUAGAAGUGGUUUGUAAGCAUGUAGUGCGUGGUCGGCUUGCACUUAAAUCUCAGACGGCGAACAAUUAACUGGCGAAAACAAUUACGCUCUCGCUGCUUAAUCGAAGAACAGUAGAUUGAAGCUUAAUCCCUGCAAAAGUUGCGGGGACGUGACAUCACCCGGAUGCUGUGGCUCCGAAGCGUUCCGAUCAGGUGGUGCAGCAAUAUCGGAGAUAGUUUGAAGUAAGCCUCGGACUUCAGGCGAAAUUUAGAGGAUAAGGUUCAAGUGGGUGGCUUCGGUCUUGCUUGUUCCCGACAAUCGAAGGCGAAGAUAAACAUGUAGAAAGCAGAUUAGUUCCUCGUUUGGACGAGAGUUCGAAUCUCUCCAUCUCCACAA
rnacentral:tmRNA from 1 species